GUUCGGAAUUACUGGGCGUAAAGGGCUCGUAGGCGGCCAACUAAGUCAGACGUGAAAUCCCUCGGCUUAACCGGGGAACUGCAUCUGAUACUGGAUGGCUUGAGUUCGGGAGAGGGAUGCGGAAUUCCAGGUGUAGCGGUGAAAUGCGUAGAUAUCUGGAGGAACACCGGUGGCGAAGGCGGCAUCCUGGACCGACACUGACGCUGAGGAGCGAAAGCCAGGGGAGCAAACGGG
rnacentral:rRNA from 1 species